AAACCCUAUUUCUCUUUUCCAUAGAGACACCUUUAGUCUCUAGCAAUCGUCCUUCCCCAUCUUGCUCAUCCUCCUCCUUUGCACUCUUUGAUCUUUCUACAUGUAAAGGCUAAACUGCAUCUAAUUUCUGUUUUUGGUCUUCAUCACGUUGUUCUCUUUGAUCAGUGCAUCGUACUACCAAUGUUCACUCGACCCAUUAGACAGAGACCCCAACACAUCCUCAUCUCGAAACCAUCAGAAGACCAUUCACUGAGUUCGCCUCGAUGCCAUUAGAGAUGGAGACCUGUUGUCGAUGUGCCUUAUGGUGAGAGAUCGUCGAUGAUGAGUGAAUGCUUCAAUGAUAUUUUUUACUGUUGAAUAUAAUUAUUUAUUUGAAUGUAAUUAUUCAAAUCUAUAAAUUGUAAUUUUUCAAUGAUGAUUUUUGUUGGUGUUGUUGAUUGAAUUUGUUAGCGGUGUCGAUUUAAAUUGUUGUUGUGAAUUUGGGCUACUAGGAAUUUGGGAUUGAGACGGGGGAAUUGGACGACACCAUUUGGGACUGGAAAUUCAAGAUUGUGAGACAGGGGAAUCAUUUGGUCAUUUCUUCGAACCAUGGUUUUAAAUCGAAUCAAACUGAAUUGAUUUGAUUUUUUUCUAAAUUCGGUUUGUUUUAGUUAGGAUUUUACAUUAAUUAAUUAUUCAAUUUAUUGAACCAAAUAGG
rnacentral:misc_RNA from 1 species